UCCUACUUCUCUUAAAAGAUAGUACUUUUUUGGUCUUCAAAGCUGUAGGUGUAUAUUAUGAAAAUUGUUAAUGUGGCGUGAACCAGAAACCGCUAUGAAUUUCAAGCGUUUUCAUUAAUCUUCUUGACUUUUUGUUAAAACGGAAGUGAACUUGGUUCUAAACAUACACUGGCUAUGAUACUAUCUCUUUUGUGUCAUGGAGAACCGGAAACCCCUAUGAAUUUCAAGCCUUUUCAUCAAUCUUCUUGACUUUUUGUUGAAACAGAAGUGAACUUGGUCCUAAACUUGCACCGGCUAUGGUAGUAUCUCUUUUGUGUGAUGGAGAACUGGAAGCUGCUAUGAAUUUCAAGCCUUUUCAUCAAUUUUCUUUACAUUUUAUUGAAACCGAAGUCAACUUGGUCCCAAACAUGCAUGGGCUAUAUCAAUAUUUUCAUAUUUGAAUGUCUGCACCUUUUGACUAACUGAAAUAUUAUUUUUAUACUUUAUCUGACCUGCCCUCUAAAGAUAUCGAAUUUAAGUGUUUUGUAGAGCAUUUUCCAUCAAAUAUAUAUAUAUGGCCCAACGAGUUGAGCUUUGGUGUGUCUCGGUUGGACAAUAUGGGCCUGUGAGGGAUCUGAACUAACAUCCGGUCUAAAGUUUUUCAAGAAUUAUUCUUCCUAUGUGGUACCUUACCUGGACAUAAAGUACCCUCAGAUUAUUUUUAUCCCCUUCUCUUCACGCCCUUGGCAAUGCCCACUUCAAUUGUGUAGAGUGGUGUUCUUUUAUUUCUGUACAGUUUUCUACUAAGUUGCUUGAGCAACAAUUGCGUUCAUUUCCUUCUACAUGAUUAAUAACACUUGAUUUGUGAUA